GCCUGCGGGGCAUUAGCUUGAUGGUGGGGUAAUGGCCUACCAUGGCGACGAUGCCUAGCCGGGUUGAGAGAUCGACCGGCCACACUGGAACUGAGACACGGUCCAGACUCCUACGGGAGGCAGCAGUGGGGAAUAUUGCGCAAUGGGCGAAAGCCUGACGCAGCAAUGCCGCGUGAGUGAGGAAGGUCUUCGGAUUGUAAAGCUCUGUCAAAGUGGAAAAACGGCUUAGUGUCUAAUAGGCAUUAAGUUUGAUGGUACACUUAAAGGAAGCACCGGCUAA
rnacentral:rRNA from 1 species